AACGGAGAAUCAGGGUUCGAUUCCGGAGAAGGAGCUUGAGAAUUGGCUACUACAUCUAAGGAAGGCAGCAGGCGCGCAAAUGACCCAAUCCCGAUUCGGGGAGGUAGUGACAAAAAAUAACAAUACCGGGCCUUUUUGGGCUUGGUAAUUGGAAUGAGGGAGAGUUAAACGGACCAUCGAGUAUCCAUUGGAGGGCAAGUCUGGUGCCAGCAGCUGCGGUAAUACCAGCUCCAAUAGCGUAUAUUAAAGUUGUUGCAGUUAAAAAGCUCGUAGUUGGACUUGUGUGCGCUGUCCGCGGGUGGCCUGCGCCCAAAAGGGCGUUUCGGUUCGGCCCCGGUGGCGCCUUGAAAUCUGCAGCUGGGGGGACGUUGGCCUUAACUGGUCGGCGACCGCACGCCGGCUGCUCGGUUACUGUGAGAAAAUUAGAGUGUUCAAGGCAGGCAUUGGGUGCAAUUGAAUACAUUAGCAUGGAAUAAUAAAAUAUGGCUCCUGCCGUAUUUUGUUGGUUUUGACUGGUGGGAGUAAUGAUUGAUAGGGACGGUUGGGGGUGCUAGUAUUGAGCGGCCAGAGGUGAAAUUCAUGGAUUCGCUCAAGACUAACUUAUGCGAAAGCAUUCACCAAGGACGUCCUCUUUAAUCAAGAACGAAAGUUGGGGGAUCGAAGACGAUCAGAUACCGUCGUAGUCUCAACCAUAAACUAUGUCGACUUGGGAUCGGCGGUAGUUUUUUCAUUAAGACACUGUCGGGACCACGGGAGAAAUCAAAGUGUCUGGACUCUGGGGGAAGUAUGGUCGCAAGGCUGAAACUUGAAGGAAUUGACGGAAGGGCACCACCAGGAGUGGAGCCUGCGGCUUAAUUUGACCCAACACGGGGAAACUUACCAGGUCCAGAGAUGUAGAGGAUUGACAGAUUGAAGCUCUUUCUUGAUCACUUCGGUGGUGGUGCAUGGCCGUUCUUAGUUGGUGGAGUGAUUUGUCUGGUUAAUUCCGUUAACGAACGAGACCUCAGCCUGCUAGUGUAGUCGGCUGGAUUGCCUUUGGCGAUCCGUGAUUUCGACUUCUUAGAGGGACAAUCGACUCGCAGUCGAUGGAAGUUUGAGGCAAUAACAGGUCUGUGAUGCCCUUAGAUGUUCUGGGCCGCACGCGCGCUACACUGCUGGGCUCAGCGAGUUUUACUUGGCCGAGAGGCCUGGUUAAUCUUGUGAAAUCCCAGCGUGCUUGGGCUCGCCUCCUGCAACUGAAGGCGCCAACGAGGAAUUCCUAGUAGACGCAGGUCAUCAACCUGCAUCGAUUACGUCCCUGCCCUUUGUACACACCGCCCGUCGUUCCAUAAGAGUGAGGCAUCCGGUGAAUUCUCGGGAGAGCCUGGGCGUGGCCAGCAAUGGUCUGCUCGGGUUUGAACUUGCAUAAACUUGGUGCCUAUGAUUAGGGAAAAGUCGUAACAAGGUU
rnacentral:rRNA from 1 species